rnacentral:misc_RNA from 1 species
CCAUCAAGAUGCUUGCAUUAGCCUAUAGGAAAACAUAAACACAAGAACCAUUGUUGCGUUAGGCCUAGAGAGAAAAGGGGGAAAACCCAGAGAGCAAAAAAGAAAACCAUGAUGGCAAUUGCACCUCAAACAAUGACUGAGAUGUGGGCAACAAUGGGCUCAACAAUUGCUAGUUUCAUGUUUCUUUGGGCUAUCUUUCGCCAAUUUUGUCCGUAUGAGGUUCGCCGUUACUUGGAAAAAUAUAGCCAAAGAAUCAUGAGUUUCUUCUACCCUUACAUUAAGAUAUCAAUUCAUGAAUACACUGGGGAUCGCCUCAAGAGAAGUGAAGCCUAUGCUGCUGUUGAGGCUUACCUGAGUGUCAACUCUACCAAGUUUGCUAAAAGGCUCAAGGCUGAGAUGGGUAAAGAUUGCAGUAACUUGGUACUUAGCAUGGAUGAGUAUGAGAGGGUCACCGAUGAAUUUCGGGGGGUUAAGGUUUGGUGGGUUUCCAGCAAGCUGGUGUCACCUAGCCAAUCCAUGUAUCCUCAACAAGAAAGAAGGUAUUACAAGCUCACCUUUCACAAAAGCCAUAGGGAGAUGAUCACUGAGGCUUACUUGCAGCAUGUAGUGAGGGAAGGGAAGGAGAUUAGGGUGAGAAAUAGGCAGAGGAAGCUUUACACUAAUAGUCCUGGCUACAAGUGGCCAAGCUACAAGCAGACUAUGUGGAGCCAUAUAGUCUUUGAGCAUCCUGCCACGUUUGAGACAAUGGCCUUGGAGCCUGAGAAGAAGAAGGAGAUUAUUGAAGAUCUUGUUACUUUUAGCAAAAGCAAGGAUUUCUACGCCAGAAUUGGAAAAGCAUGGAAAAGAGGGUAUCUUCUUUAUGGUCCUCCAGGAACUGGCAAGUCUACUAUGAUUGCUGCAAUGGCGAACUUGUUGAACUAUGAUGUUUAUGAUCUGGAGCUCACUGCAGUGAAGGACAAUACGGAACUAAGGAAGCUUUUGAUAGAAACUACCAGUAAAUCGAUCAUAGUGAUUGAGGACAUCGACUGCUCGCUUGAUCUUACUGGUCAGAGGAAGAAGAAAGCGGAGAAAUCUUCAGAUGAUGAGAAGGAGAAAUCAGAGAAGGAAAUUCCUCGUAAAGACCUUAAAGAAGAGGCAAGCAGCAAGGUGACACUUUCAGGGUUAUUGAAUUUCAUCGAUGGGUUAUGGUCAGCUUGUGGAGGUGAGAGGCUAAUUGUCUUCACCACCAAUUAUGUGGAGAAGCUUGAUCCUGCUUUGAUAAGAAGGGGUAGAAUGGAUAAGCACAUUGAACUUUCUUAUUGCAGUUUUGAGGCAUUCAAGGUGCUUGCAAGGAACUACUUGAAACUCAAAGCACACCCUCUGUUCGGCAAAAUUGAAAGGCUAAUGAAGGAGACCAAGAUCACACCUGCUGAUGUUGCCGAAAACCUUAUGCCCAAGUCCCCACUUGAUAAUGCAGAGACAUGUCUUUCAAACUUGAUUCAAGCCCUCGAGGAAGUAAAAGAAGCAGAAGCUUUUAAAACAGAGAAAGAAGAAGAGGCAGCAGCAUGUGACGACAACCUGAGGAAGAAGCAACUUAGAAGAAAGGCAGAGGAGGAAGCAGCAGCUAAUGAGACGUCAGGGUACCCCGUCAACAUAGAUGUUGCCCGGCCACGGGAAAAUGGAGAAGCCGAGGAAACAUUGUGAACUGGCAUCAUCAUUAAAUUCUUGUAUUAAAUAUAUUGCCCACGUAAAUUUCGGGUACAAGGUUGAAGUAAUUAUUAUCGUGUACAAGUUACAAAUAUCUGUUUCUGUAACAAGUCCAUUUAGAACACAAAAACAAACACUACUCGAGCAGUUGCACCAUAAUACAUAAUUACAAAAAAGACAAACAGCACAAUCACUUUCGUCCAUUGCAGAGCUCGCAUCAUAAAAAUGUCAGCAUUACAAAUCAAGAAUGGUAGCAAUUACAAUGUAGGAAGAAUGAUCAACCGAUAAGUGAAACAUUAGCUACCACUUAAGGGAGGAUAGACCAUUACAUAAAAAAGAUUUCAGAUCCAAUCAUUUUAUCCGCAAACAAAGCCAAAACCAAAUGAUCAAUGGGCACAUCGUUUUUUGUAAUCAUGGUGGAUUAAACUACAGGGCUUGAACAUCUAAUGCCCAAAUUUUUCGGUUACAAUAUCAGUUAAGGUUAUUGUACAUUAAUUGGAUAAGAUAAGGAACUCCCAACGAAUUCUCAUUCACCCAUUGUAGGUUUUCUAUGAAUGUAGACAUGCUAAAAAAUGACUACCUAAUCUACAUAACUCUCAGUAUCAAGUCACUCACUGCUGCAAAUCCUGAAUGAAUUUCAUCAGGCUGUUUCUUAACUUCACCAUGGAAGAACUUUGACCAGAAUUUCCUCCAUAGGCUUAUCACAAAAUUUAUAUAAUAUUGUUUUUUUACUAUCGUACAUUAAGCUUUCCCUGAGAAAAAACAACAAACCUUGUUCUCUAGCAGGGAGGGAAACUUAAAAAUUGCCUCUAUCUUCAUCUUUCAUUAUUGUGUUUGGACCAUCAUCAAAACCAGAGCCUGGAGCAAGUUCAUUUAGAUCAAGGAAACGCCGCUUUCUUACACCCUCAACUUCAUCUUCGCCAGGGCUAUUUGAUUUCUCUGGUGGCUGAUUUUGCUGUUUCUCUGCAGUCUGAGUGUAACCUUCAACAGGCUGAUCAACUUUCAUAUCUUGCUCUUCAUCCUCAUUCUCAUCAGAAUCUUGACUUCCAGCUGAAUACUCUUUCUCACUAGCAUCUGAGUGUUCAUCUGAUGCAUUUGAUUUUUCAGGCUUCAUUGACUCUGUUUCUGAUUCUGACAGCUCAUAUUGCCGAUAAUUAAUCCGGUUUCUGGUAGCCCUUCUGCUGCGUCUCAAACCUGAUUGAAGCUCAUCGACAGACCUUAAUUUAGUUUCCCUCCGUGUUCGGCCUGGCAUUUUCUUAAAUUUUUGGGGCUCAUCACUAUCCUCACUGAUACUUGAUGAAUCCUCUUCUUCUUCCUCUUCUUCCUCUUUCGCUUUCAUCAUUUCCAACAUUCUUCUUGCCUUUUCCCUGGUUUGUUCUCGUCCUGACUUCUCCAA